UACGUAGGUGGCAAGCGUUGUCCGGAUUUACUGGGCGUAAAGGGUGCGUAGGCGGACAUUUAAGUCAGAUGUGAAAUACCCGAGCUUAACUUGGGUGCUGCAUUUGAAACUGGGUGUCUAGAGUGCAGGAGAGGUAAGUGGAAUUCCUAGUGUAGCGGUGAAAUGCGUAGAGAUUAGGAAGAACACCAGUGGCGAAGGCGACUUACUGGACUGUAACUGACGCUGAGGCAUGAAAGCGUGGGGAGCAAACGGG
rnacentral:rRNA from 1 species